rnacentral:rRNA from 1 species
UGGGGAAUUUUGGGCAAUGGGGGCAACCCUGACCCAGCGACGCCGCGUGGGGGACGAAGGCCUUCGGGUCGUAAACCCCUGUUAGGUGGGACGAACAUCUCCCCACAAAAAGUGGAGAGACUUGACGGUACCACCAGAGAAAGCCCCGGCUAACUCCGUGCCAGCAGCCGCGGUAAUACGGAGGGGGCGAGUGUUGUUCGGAAUUACUGGGCGUAAAGGGCGCGUAGGCGGCUUGGCAAGUCGAGUGUGAAAUCCCUUGGCUUAACUGAGGAAUUGCGCUCGAAACUACCUCGCUUGAGGGCGGGAGAGGGAAGUGGAACUCUCGGUGUAGGGGUGAAAUCUGUAGAGAUCGAGAGGAACACCGGUGGCGAAGGCGGCUUCCUGGCCCGUCCCUGACGCUGAGGCGCGAAAGCGUGGGGAGCAAACAGGAUUAGAUACCCUGGUAGUCCACGCCCUAAACGAUGGGCACUAGGUGUGGGCGGUAUUAAUCCCGCCUGUGCCGUAGCUAACGCAUUAAGUG